CCAUCUUCCCUCCCUCCACCCUCUUUUUCCCCAUCUCCCCCUAAUUUCUCAACAAAUGAAACGGAUUUGUAAAAAAGGUUACAUGGAAAAAACAUGAGAGACAUUACACUUCUGUAAAACAAGAAAAUCUUUAAUAAAAAAGAAAAAGCUGGCAAGGAGCUGGAGGGCAGCACAGAUGCCUCCAACAAGGAAAGCAGAAAAACCUUCCCUCGUGCAGUGCAGUUCUUCACUUCUGAAAGUGGAGUCAUGAACAAGAUGAUUGAUUUCAUUGAGAAUCCCAAGGGAUUGUGGAUUGCAUACUGCACACUUUAAGAAAACUGGGAUUGCUCAAUGUAAACUUCAGUAUUCACAAUUUGGUCUACACAGUGUUGAAGAAGAAGAAACAGAAACGGAAGAAGAAACAACCCUUUGUUGGUAUCGCAAGGCUCAUAUUGUGCAUAACAUGGCUUUCAGUCGAACCAUGUCUUUGCACCUGCUUCAUUAGGCUUCUUGAGGAUUUUCCCAGACUACUCCUCACUAGCUGAAGCUAGACAUUAAUGCAGAAGUGCAGGAUGAGGAAGACAGUUAUGUUGUGGAGGUUUAUCUCCUUUUUUGCAAUCACAUAUUGUCCCUCUUUAUAGAUACUGUUAUGAAGCUUGAGGCCAAUAACACCACCUGCAUAGAGCUGUAUGCCAUUAUGUAUUCCUUUAGAGCCAAACUGGCACAGAGAUGUGAUGAACAGUUUGUUGGAGACCUGACCAAAGUCAAGCUGCAGCGCCUUUCUCCAGUUGAUGCAAACAGGGCAAUGGGAGAAUUCCUUUUAUUCAUUGAGACUGCCAUUGCAUUGAGAAAUGGUUUGCUUUUUCAAAUUGCAACUGGCUUUUCUACCUCCAGCCCCUCUCCCUCCAAGAUGGCAAGUUCAUCUACAGAGACGUUGAAAACGUCUAUGAAAAUCUCAGCUUCACUACCAGAGUGGACAUGGAUAAGCUGUAUGAUGAAAGCAUAACAGCCAACUGCAUUCUGGAGCAGCUUUUAAAGGAUGCUCAGUGAAAGAACAAAGAUGUGGCUGCAAAGUGGAUGGCUAUAUUUACAGCAUGUGAUCUACCCAAUUUGCCCUGUGGAGUGGAUUUCCUCCAUGCUGUUGAACAAAUGGAGUAAUGUUCAGAACCGGUGCUCUGUGGAACUGAUAAAAAGUGAGAUCCUGAUUUCUCUGAACUUUGAACUGCCAUGUGCCGAAUUCCACUCUUAUUUUGAAGGACAAACACUGCUUAAUGAAACAAGGAGUGGCAGAAAGUCAUGGAAGGUGAAGUGGAGACAGACAGAGACUAUUGUCUCAAAACUGAGGGACUUCUGUGGCCCUUUCCACAGAAACAAAGAUAGUAAACACCAUGUUAAGUUGCUUCAUGUUGGUUUGUGUCAAACCAAUUACAAAUCAUAAUGCUUUUGUUUUUCUCCAUUGAAUAAAGCACUGUAAACCAUG